rnacentral:rRNA from 1 species
AUUGAACGCUGGCGGCAGGCUUAACUCAUGCAAGUCGAGCGGGGGAGGUUACUUCGGUAACUGACCUAGCGGCGGACGGGUGAGUAAUGCUUAGGAAUCUGCCUAUUAGUGGGGGACAACAUUCCGAAAGGAAUGCUAAUACCGCAUACGUCCUACGGGGGAAAGCAGGGGAUCUUCGGACCUUGUGCUAAUAGAUGAGCCUAAGUCGGAUUAGCUAGUUGGUGGGGUAAAGGCCUACCAAGGCGACGAUCUGUAGCGGGUCUGAGAGGAUGAUCCGCCACACUGGGACUGAGACACGGCCCAGACUCCUACGGGAGGCAGCAGUGGGGAAUAUUGGACAAUGGGGGGAACCCUGAUCCAGCCAUGCCGCGUGUGUGAAGAAGGCCUUUUGGUUGUAAAGCACUUUAAGCGAGGAGGAGGCUCCUUUAGUUAAUACCUAAAGAGAGUGGACGUUACUCGCAGAAUAAGCACCGGCUAACUCUGUGCCAGCAGCCGCGGUAAAAC